UGGGUGACUAGUGACAGAGUGAGGAAGGGGGUGACACAAUGACAGAGUGAGGGAGGGGGUGACUAGUGACAGAGUGAAGGAGGUGGUGACUGUCACUAAUCACAACCUCCCUCACUCUGUCACUAGUCACCCCCCCCUCUCUCUCUCUGUCUCUAGUCACCCCCUCCCUCUCUCUGUCACUAGUCACCCCUUCCCUCUCUCUGUCACUAGUCACACCA